UUUGGCUUUCAUCAUCUAGUUAAAAACAUGAAAUUUAACUUCUACAUAUUUUCAGCCGUCUAAAUCAUAUUCAAUGGUGCAGAUCAUCGAUUCGAAUGUUCCAUCAUCAAAAAUAAAUUGGUAGUAACGAAACUCAUUUACUACUGAUAGCAUUUUAUAGUUCAUCUCUCUCUCUCUCUCUCUCUCUCUCUAUAUAUAUAUAUAGAGUCCGGCUACUAUGCUAUCGGUAGCACGGAGCGCUCCGUGCUACCAAGUUGUUUUCGAUGAUGCGACUUCCCAAUCGACGAUCGGCUCCGUUAGACUUGAUCUACACUAUUGAAAGUAUUUGGAAACUAAAUUUCAAAUUUUUUCCACAUCAUUUGACUAGUGAUCAAAAGAUCUCAAAAUUGACAGUUUUAUAUAUAUAUAUAUAUAUAUAUAUAUAAGAUCACACACUAGAUGUUAUGUCAUUUAAUCAUCAGCGUGAGCUGAAAAAUCAAUCAAACAUAAUACUAGUUUAAGAGACCCGCGCGCUGUGCGGGAAGGUAUUAUUACAGUAAAUUAUUAUAAUUAAAAUCAAUAUAUAUAUACACUUCGGCUACUAUAUUCUUAUGAAUAUAGACCCUUUCGUCUUUAUAAAUUUUUAAAUUAAUUUUAAGGAUUAAUUACGGAUUUAAAUUAAAAUUUUUGAAUUUUUAUUUUUGGGGACAAAAGUGAAAAAUAAAAUUUAGGGACUAAAAUUGACAUGUAAAAGAAAGUUAAAUAGACGAUGAUAUGAUAAUAUUAUUAAUUCUAAAAUCUCUUUUAACAGUGCCAUUUUAUUGUGAUGAAAUCAAGAGAUUUAAAAUUUUGAUUGUAAAAAAAGAUUAAGGAUCAAAAUAAAAAAUAGUGAAAAUGUUGGGACUGAUGUGCGAUUACUUCUAAAAAAUUUACAUCUAGCCCCACAAUCCCAAAAUAAGAAGAGGUUUUCUUUAGGAUUCACAAUUCAUGUUUAGGUAAGCGCUUGCGCGAUACCGCGGGGAGAUAAUAUUUUAGUUAUUUUUCAGAAUAUAUUUUUUUAGACACAUAUAAUUUUAUGAAUAUAUGAAAAUUAUAUAGCAAUACACAAAAUAGAGAUAAUAUUUUAGUUAUUUUUCAAAACAUAUUUUUUUAGACACAUAUAAUUUUAUAAAUAAAUAUAUGAAAAUAUAUAACAAUACACAAAAUAGAAAAUACACUCUCAUAAUAAUACACUCUCAUAUACAAUUAAAAAAUAAGCAAAAACAAAAAAAAAAGAUAUAAAUAUUUUUUUAACUAAAAAACUAAAUUCGUUGUUUUAUACACUCGGUGUACAAUUUUUUUUACACCGUAUUUANAUAUAUAUAUAUAUAUAUAUAUAUAUAUAGAUAUAUAUAUAUAUAUAUAUCUCUCUCUCUCUCUCUCUCUACUUGAUAUUUUACGAUAGUCAUCAUUUACUCAAAGCAAUGAUGGUUAAAUAAAAACUACUACCUUGUAAGCUUAGUCCGGCUACUAUACUAUCGAUAGUACCAAGCCCUUGGUACUAUUGAGUUUUCUACCGUUAGAUCUAGCCUUCAAUCAUUUCCACCCGUUAGAUUAUACUAUUAAACCAAUCACCCACUCAACCCUAGGGGACCACUAUCAAUUUAACCGGGGACCACUAUCAUCCUAACCGCAUAUCUUUUCAUCCAACGGCCGAAAACUUAAUAGUACCAAAGGCCUGAUACUAUUGAUAGUAUAGUAGCAUAAUUCUAUAUAUAUAUAUAUAUAUAUAUAUAUAGGGUGAGAGAGAGAGAGAGUGGG
rnacentral:lncRNA from 1 species